UGGGGAAUAUUGCACAAUGGGCGCAAGCCUGAUGCAGCCAUGCCGCGUGUAUGAAGAAGGCCUUCGGGUUGUAAAGUACUUUCAGAGGGGAGGAAGGCGAUGUGGUUAAUAACCGCGUCGAUUGACGUUACCCGCAGAAGAAGCACCGGCUAACUCCGUGCCAGCAGCCGCGGUAAUACGGAGGGUGCAAGCGUUAAUCGGAAUUACUGGGCGUAAAGCGCACGCAGGCGGUCUGUCAAGUCGGAUGUGAAAUCCCCGGGCUCAACCUGGGAACUGCAUCCGAAACUGGCAGGCUUGAGUCUCGUAGAGGGGGGUAGAAUUCCAGGUGUAGCGGUGAAAUGCGUAGAGAUCUGGAGGAAUACCGGUGGCGAAGGCGGCCCCCUGGACAAAGACUGACGCUCAGGUGCGAAAGCGUGGGGAGCAAACA
rnacentral:rRNA from 1 species